rnacentral:sRNA from 19 species
CAUUUACGCGAUAUUAAGCUUUCCAGCGUAUUACUCUGAUUGUCCAUCUUUGGACGCCGAGUGGCUCCUGUCCACUCUGCUUUGACGCCUCCCUGUUAUCAACUUCAAAGCCGCCGGCAACGGCGGCUCUUUUUUU